UUAAGUUCAGCGGGUAUCCCUACCUGAUCCGAGGUCAACCAUAGAUAAUUAGGGGUUGCUGGCAAGACACCUACUAGACCCUGUAGCGAGAAGUAUUACUACGCUUAGAGCCAGAAGGCACCGCCACUGAUUUUAAGGGCUGCCAGAUGGCAGGCCCCAACACCAAGCUGAGCUUGAGGGUUUUAAUGACGCUCGAACAG
rnacentral:misc_RNA from 1 species